GUCCUACCUGUCUGGUUUUUAUGAGGCUGAGAUCACACUGAUUCUGUGUAUUACAAAAUAUUUUAAUGCAUUUUUAGGAUAAAUAGCAUACAUAAAGUACACAAUUUAAAAAGGCACAAAAAAACGGCAGGCAGGGAAAAAUCAAUUUCUCCCCUGACUCUCACCACCCAGUGUUCUCCCAUCCAGAUCUCCUUCCAGAGCGGUCCAGGGCUCCCCCUUAUCCAUGUUUUCAGUGAGUUAAUAGCCUUUGACCCUUCAAGAUUCUCAGGAAUGAAAAAUUGUCUGUAAGGUCAAAUCAUGUCUCUAAUAUAAUGUACUAUAUUGAUAAAAGAUAAAAUUAUACCACCUCGAUGCCAGUCACAGAACCAGAACUAUAUCCUGCAACUCUUCUUAAAGAACAUUCUGAACUGACAAAGGCAGCCGAAGGUACUCAACAGUGAUAGCAUCCUUUAACAGAUCUCUGUGCCAGAGAUUUCCCUGAGGGGUUCCCAGGGAUGCCACCAUGGUUCCCAAAGCUCAGACCUUGAAGUCAGAGUCUGUGUGAAUCUGGAUUGCAGUGACUGUGACAUUAACCUCAGGCCCAGGUCCCUGGAGGCAGGCCCCUUCUUCCCCCAAAGCUCAGAGCUGGCAAGGAUAUCCUCACCUUGUUCUGCCCUCGGGUAUCUGCUGGGCUAGGAGGUGUGGGGAGAGUGGGUGGAGUAAUUCCAGCUCCAAUGGAGCAGUUUUUAAAAAGUCAUUUCCAUAAAAUAUAGCUUCAAAGAGAGAAAGCCAUUCUGCACUUACCCAGACUAUGUCUUCUUCAAACUCACCUCCUGACACUACAUGUUAAGAAGUGGAAGAGUGGCCCAGGGUUUCCCUGGAGAUCUGGUGCCAUGCACUGUUCCAUGGGCUUACAUGAUCACAAAUCUGCCCCCUCUGAGUGUGCACCAGACAGCACCUUACUGCGGAUUUUCUCCCUGGCAGGAUGUUUCAAGGGUUUUUCAGGAAUGGGCUGCAAUUCGGAAGUUUAUGUGCCAGUGCAGUGAAUUUCUCUCUCUGCUCUCUCUCCUUGCCUCCCAGGAUCCAUCUGAUAAAGUUGCAGAGGCAUCUUGGAUUUACAACACCCCCUGCCAGCCCCUCACUGAACCACACAUCAUCUGCAGCAGGAGGCGUUGGAUUACAUUUGGCUGGAGCGCCCGCAUCAACUCCAGUUGUCCCUGAAUUGGAACUGAUGGGCCUCACGUGCCACAGCCAACAGUUUGUCUUCACCCACUCCCCUCUCUGGAAUGAACCUUUCUCUGGGAAAACAAGAAACCUACGUGCCAUCCUGGGUGAGAGACAAACAGGAGCUGCAUCCCAGGAUCGCAUCCCCGGUAUGAUGGGUUCCCCACAGCAAGCCACACUUCAAGCAUCUCUGGAAAGACCUUCUGAACCACAGGACACAAAUGCUCCCUCUGGAGCACCGGAGCCUCUGUGUUCCUCUCAGCUCACAGGCAUCCAUUCUUCCUGCAUUCAGGCUCCUUGAGGAAUGCCUUUAGCUCUAGCUAUUGCAAGCUUUUAAGAACUUAUUGGAACACAAAUGCUCAUUUCAAGGAAACAGAUAACAGUUGCAAAUGGAUUAAACGUAAUCCCUGUGCUGGAGCCCUUGAAGGAAAAGAGAUGGGGGUUUCUGGGCUGUGAGAUGAAGCUUGGUCAAGGAUGCUUGCUUUGAGGACUCUGCUCUGAAAACCCAGGAAGGAGAAGACUCGGGAUUCAAAAUCAUGCAGCCUAAUGCAGAGCCAGCACCCUGACCCUCCCUGUGAGAGCUCUUCAAGGAGUAAGUCUCAUUAAUAACCCAACUCGUGCACUAGAAUGAAUGAACGAUCCAUCUACUUCAUUUGCGGUAAAAUGACUUUUCUGCCAAGUUGAUGAAAGGUGGCUAACAAGGGGAGUUUUGGGGCCUAGGAUACUGCUAUACCAUGAGUGCUAUCCCUCCCAGACUGCAAGGUGAGAUUAUAAACAGUCCGUAGUCAAGGUCUUGUUGGUAGACAAGAGACCUGCUUACGCAUGAAGUAUGCAUCUCCUGAAAACCAUCAGCAUGCUCUCUGGGAGCAGUAAACACUGAUAAUGCAGCAUACCACCAGAUGAGCCUGCUUUUCUCUCCAGCCCAGACAGACACCCCACCCUAGGUGGAGGGCUCUACCCUGUAAGUCUCCUAGAGUGAAGGGCUAAGCCUGGCUAGAGGGCAGAAUUCCCACACAGAUGCCAGGCAUACAAUUCCUGUUUAACACUUCCCUUCUUCUAUGUAACCUUAAAACUGUCCUUUGUAUGUAGAAAACACAGACUAGGACUCACAUUUAAUUUUUGAUGUACUUGCCAAUUUCUGGACAUCAAACUAGAAUGAAAAUUCAAGUUUGGACUUCACACCAGAGGAUCUUGGGCCAUAGAGUCUGCUGUUCAAUAUGAAAUUGAGUAUUCCUCGUUCCCAUAUCCAGAGGAGAUAGGGGAAAUUGUGACCUCUAUCUCAUGUGUGACAUACCAAAAAUUAAAAAAAAAAAAAAA
rnacentral:lncRNA from 1 species